UGAGAAUAUACUUACGUAUAUGUUAUAUUAUAGCCUGAGGGCUAUAACAUUAUACGUUCACGUGUUCAAAACAAAACUAUACACAACUAUAGAUACUUUCAACUUCACAAUAAGUGUAUGUAUUAAAAAUAAAAAAACUGAUACUGGAAACGAGUUUGUCACUGUUGUUCUGUGAGAAGUUGGGAAGGUAGGAUACAUACAGUUAUUUUAAUUAUAUCUGACAUCUAGAAGCAACGAUAAACCAUUGUCAAUGAAAAAUUAUUCGGAGUGAAAUUCGGUUAAUUUAGACUUAUAAUUGUAAUAAUUUUAAA